GCAUGGAGGAGAGGUGGGCGAGCGGGAAGGGCUGGGGCGUCGCCCACGACGCCGAGCUUGACGACGGCCUUGCGGCGGCACAGUCGGCGAGGACCUGUCGGAUCUCGCAGGAUCCGGUGGGAAAUGGAGCGCAGGCGGCGGAUCUGGAAGGAAGGUGGCCGGAGCUUGGAGCACGACGGCUGGCGGGCGUGGCAAGGCCUACGCCAGUGAGAGAAGAGAGAGAUGAGCGGGAGAGAAAAAAGAGGACGGGAAGAAGAUGGGAGGCUAGAGGGAGAGAGAACAGCGUGGUGGUCCUGCUGCUGCUCGCCGGUGGCUAGCCGGAGUUGCAGCCCCGCGCAUCACAUGGUCAUGCCAAGGCCCAGGUCAUCUUGCGAUUGCUGACCCGCUGCCUCUUUCUUUCCCUCUUACAGAUGCAUUCAGGAGUGCGACACCACCAUCCUGUGCCACAAACCAUACCAAGAAUGAUGAGUUAUGGCUAGAGUUCAUUUGAUCCAUAUGAUAAAAAUACCUAUUGAGGAAUAAGCGUGAAAAGUAAUCAACCACUCUUUCUGCAGUGGAAUUCGGCUUCAUGGGAAUAUGGUACCCUACGACGCAGGAAGACUACUGAAGAUCAGUUCUAAAUCUAAUCAAGUCAAAGCUUCUCUGUUGUAUGUACUGCAGCAAUGAUGAUCGGAAGUUUAGGACCACAUUGUAUUCAAGAAAAAAGGAAUGAUCUUGCUUAGAAGCAGCAAGACCAUAGAUUGUUCUACUCAGCCGGUUAGCAUCACCAUAGAUUUUGAGCAAAUACAAAAUAUCUAUUUGAAGAUAAAAAGAGGUUCCAAAGGCAUCCGAUUGAACUCAAGUGGAGGCCAAGGAGGUUCGCCUCUUGGAUAUGCCACCAAUAACGAUCGAUGGUACCGACGUGCA